rnacentral:rRNA from 1 species
AGUGAACGCUGGCGGUAGGCCUAACACAUGCAAGUCGAACGGCAGCACAGUAAGAGCUUGCUCUUACGGGUGGCGAGUGGCGGACGGGUGAGGAAUACAUCGGAAUCUACUUUUUCGUGGGGGAUAACGUAGGGAAACUUACGCUAAUACCGCAUACGACCUACGGGUGAAAGCAGGGGAUCUUCGGACCUUGCGCGAUUGAAUGAGCCGAUGUCGGAUUAGCUAGUUGGCGGGGUAAAGGCCCACCCAGGCGACGAUCCGUAGCUGGUCUGAGAGGAUGAUCAGCCACACUGGAGCUGAGACACGGUCCUGACUCCGACGGGAGGCAGCAGUGGGGAAUGUUGGACAAUGGGCGCAAGCCUGAUCCAGCCAUACCGCGUGGGUGAAGAAGGCCUUCGGGUUGUAAAGCCCUUUUGUUGUGAAAGAAAAGCAGCAGGUUAAUACCCCGCUGUUCUGACGGUACCCAAAGAAUAAGCACCGGUUAACUUCGU